rnacentral:rRNA from 1 species
UACGUAGGGACCGAGCGUUGUCCGGAUUCAUUGGGCGUAAAGAGCUCGUAGGCGGCUAUUCAAGUCGAACGUGAAAUCUCGGAGCUCAACUCCGAAACUGCGUUCGAUACUGGGUAGCUAGAGUCUGGUAGGGGGAUCUGGAAUUCCUGGUGUAGCGGUGGAAUGCGCAGAUAUCAGGAGGAACACCAGUGGCGAAGGCGACUUCCUGGCCUGUUCUUGACGCUGAGGCGCGAAAGCUAGGGGAGCAAACGGG